GCAAAGUAGGGGAGACAGAGGAAAUGCGAUUACGCAUGCGUGUAUACGUUCCAUACGAAAGAAUCAUAAUUUAUAUCGAACCGGUCGUAGGUGGCGCGUCUCAUUAAGGAGGAGGGAAUGAUCGUGGACGAAUGAACCGGCCGUCAUGUGGGUGGCUGCGAUUGCACAGGCCGACCAUGUCCGGGACGAAAGUGAAAUGUUCCACUUGUCGUUCCACGAUUAUAAAUUUUU